rnacentral:rRNA from 1 species
UACGUAGGGUGCAAGCGUUAAUCGGAAUUACUGGGCGUAAAGCGUGCGCAGGCGGUGAUGUAAGACAGGUGUGAAAAUCCCCCGGGCUUAACCUGGGAACUGCAUUUGUGACUGCAUCGCUGGAGUGCGGCAGAGGGGGGAUGGAAUUCCGCGUGUAGCAGUGAAAUGCGUAGAUAUGCGGAGGAACACCGAUGGCGAAGGCAAUCCCCUGGGCCUGCACUGACGCUCAUGCACGAAAGCGUGGGGAGCAAACAGG